rnacentral:rRNA from 1 species
GACGAACGCUGGCGGCGUGCUUAACACAUGCAAGUCGAACGGAAAGGCCCUGCUUUUGUGUGGUGCUCGAGUGGCGAGAGGGUGAGUAACACGUGAGUAACCUGCCCUUGACUUUGGGAUCACUUCCGGAAACUGAGGCUAAUUCCGGCUCGGAUCUCCUUCUGCAUGGUGGGGGUUGGAAAGUUUCGGCGGUUGGGGAUGGACUCGCGGCUUAUCAGCUUGUUGGUGGGGUAGUGGCUUACCAAGGCUUUGACGGGUAGCCGGCCUGAGAGGGUGACCGGCCACAUUGGGACUGAGAUACGGCCCAGACUCCUACGGGAGGCAGCAGUGGGGAAUAUUGCACAAUGGGCGGAAGCCUGAUGCAGCAACGCCGCGUGAGGGAUGACGGCCUUCGGGUUGUAAACCGCUUUCGCCAGUGACGAAGCGUGAGUGACGGUAAUGGGUAAAGAAGCACCGGCUAACUACGUG